CCUAUCUCCUCGCCUUUUCCGUUGUUCGUCUACUCGCCGCUUCGCGUCGUGCCCCUGUACGCCGUGCUCGCAGUCGCCCCUAUCGCUAGAUCGCCCCAAUUCGCCCAAUCAGUGAAGAAAGAAAGAAUAGUGGUCAGUGGAGAACAAAAUGUCAGUAUUGCAAUACUCUAGGAGACUAGGACGGCUGGAAGCAGCGGCAAAGUGAUACUGAUGCAGUAAUUGAUCGCUUUGAGGCCAUGAAAGAAAAUAAGAAACCAUUUUAGAAAGACAUGGGACCCCGGGUCAUUUUUGUCCUGGGUCCGCCCGCGUCCCCUGCCGCGCGCACGACGAACGCGUCGAGCUUGCCACGGGACGGCGCGCCAAGGAAGCGGAGGAUCUCGUCCAGGGUGGCGCCGCGGGCGCCGGCCGCAACGCGCGCUAGCGCGGUGUAGAUGGACAGUGACGAGAAGACCAGGUUGUUGUUUGCGUGCUUGUCGGCCAGGGCCCGCGCGAGGCCGGCGGAUAGCGCCGCCAGCCCCUCGGAGCCGGAGUCGCCGCCGGCAGGCUGCGGCUGAUGCCUCCUCGUCGGCCCGGCUCCUUGGAAGUCCAUCAUAUUGUAUCGAAUCGAUAGAGGGUUUAGAAUCGCUGACGGAUCUGAUUACUUUGCUUCGGUUGCUGUUUACGAGUUGCUAAUAUAAGGGU